rnacentral:rRNA from 1 species
GUCCACGCCCUAACGAUGAUUACUCGACAUCAGCGAUACACUGUUGGUGUCUGAGCGAAAGCAUUAAGUAAUCCACCUGGGAAGUACGAUCGCAAGAUUGAAACUCAAAGGAAUUGACGGGGUCCGCACAAGCGGUGGAGCAUGUGGUUUAAUUCGAUGAUACGCGAGGAACCUUACCUGGGCUAGAAUGUCAAGUGACCGCCGGUGAAAGCUGGUUUUAUAGCAAUAUACACUUGAUAAGGUGCUGCAUGGCUGUCGU